UAAUCUUUGAAAUUUCAUCGUGAUGGGGAUAGAUCAUUUGCAAUUUGUUGGUCUUCAACGAGGAAUUCCUAGUAAGCGCGAGUCAUCAGCUCGCGUUGACUACGUCCCUGCCCCUUUUGUACACACCCGCCCGUCGCUCCUACCGAUUGAAUGGUCCGGUGAAGUGUUCGGAUCGCGGCGACGUGGGCGGUUCGCCGCCGGCGACGUCGCGAGAAGUCCACUGAACCUUAUCAUUUAGAGGAAGGAGAAGUCGUAACAAGGUUUCCGUAGGUGAACCUGCGGAAGGAUCAUUG
rnacentral:ncRNA from 1 species